rnacentral:rRNA from 1 species
AACGAACGCUGGCGGCAGGCCUAACACAUGCAAGUCGAACGCCCUAGCAAUAGGGAGUGGCAGACGGGUGAGUAACGCGUGGGAACGUGCCCUUCAGUUCGGGAUAACCCAGGGAAACUUGGGCUAAUACCGGAUACGUGCGAGAGCAGAAAGAUUUAUCGCUGAAGGAUCGGCCCGCGUCCGAUUAGCUAGUUGGUGAGGUAAUGGCUCACCAAGGCGACGAUCGGUAGCUGGUCUGAGAGGAUGAUCAGCCACACUGGGACUGAGACACGGCCCAGACUCCUACGGGAGGCAGCAGUGGGGAAUAUUGGACAAUGGGCGCAAGCCUGAUCCAGCCAUGCCGCGUGAGUGAUGAAGGCCCUAGGGUUGUAAAGCUCUUUCGCCAGGGACGAUAAUGACGGUACCUGGAUAAGAAGCCCCGGCUAACUUCGUGCCAGCAGCCGCGGUAAAAC